AUAGGCUCGAAUGAUUUUAACUCACCUCAACAAGGAUCAUUGAUCCAAAAAUAAUUCUAGUUAGUCAUGAUCCACUAGUGAUGCCUAGUAACAUGUAGUGGCAACCCAAUAGAACAGAAAAGAUAAACUCCAAGGUACUGUUAUCGUGUAAUACAAUCUCUCUACCGUGAGUCUCGAUUAGACGAAGGUCAUGAAAAACUCAUCAAACCUCAUCAUCAGUCAUAUGUC
rnacentral:lncRNA from 1 species